rnacentral:rRNA from 1 species
AUUGAACGCUGGCGGCAUGCUUUACACAUGCAAGUCGAACGGUAACAGGUUAAGCUGACGAGUGGCGAACGGGUGAGUAAUGCAUCGGAACGUGCCCGAUCGUGGGGGAUAACGCAGCGAAAGCUGCGCUAAUACCGCAUACGAUCUGAGGAUGAAAGCGGGGGACCGUAAGGCCUCGCGCGAUCGGAGCGGCCGAUGUCAGAUUAGGUAGUUGGUGGGGUAAAGGCUCACCAAGCCAACGAUCCGUAGCUGGUCUGAGAGGACGACCAGCCAAACUGGGACUGAGACACGGCCCAGACUCCUACGGGAGGCAGCAGUGGGGAAUUUUGGACAAUGGGCGAAAGCCUGAUCCAGCAAUGCCGCGUGCAGGAAGAAGGCCUUCGGGUUGUAAACUGCUUUUGUACGGAGCGAAAAGGUUCUCUCUAAUACAGAGGGCUCAUGACGGUACCGUAAGAAUAAGCACCGGCUAACUACGUGCCAGCCGCCGCAGUAA